UACAGAGGGUGCGAGCGUUGUCCGGAAUCACUGGGCGUAAAGCGCACGUAGGCGGACUCUUAAGUCGGUGGUGAAAUCCUGGAGCUCAACUCCAGAACUGCCUUCGAUACUGGGAGUCUCGAGUCCGGGAGAGGUGAGUGGAACUGCGAGUGUAGAGGUGAAAUUCGUAGAUAUUCGCAAGAACACCAGUGGCGAAGGCGGCGCACUGGCCCGGUACUGACGCUGAGGUGCGAAAGCGUGGGGAGCAAACAGG
rnacentral:rRNA from 1 species